GGACUACUCGGGUAUCUAAUCCCGUUCGCUCCCCUGGCUUUCGCACCUGAGCGUCAGGUACUCCCCAGGACACUGCCUUCGCCUUUGGUGUUCCUCCGGAUCUCUACGCAUUUCACCACUCCACCCGGAAUUCCGUGUCCCUCGUGAGCCCUCAAGUCGUGCAGUCUUCAAAGGCCCUCCUCAGUUAAGCCGAGGAUUGUCACUCCGAACUUACACGACCGCCUGCGUGCGCUUUACGCCCAGUAACUCCGGACAACGCUCGCCCCCUACGUAUUACCGCGGCGGCUGGCAC
rnacentral:rRNA from 1 species